GGGGCUUUAGUCCGGAGGAGGCCCAGUGAAGAUCUUGUCAUUCUCUUCAGCUGCCUGAAUGGAGAUUGUAGUGAGGUGAGGUCUGGCCUCUUCUCCCAGGACAGACAUUUCCUGCUUCAAUGCUACACAUGCUGCAGCAUAUGUACCAGAAUACGCAGGAACAAGUGAUACGAGACUCCUCGCCUUUUACCAAUCACUGUCUGCAAACAUUAUGAUGAAAAAUUGUAGCCAUUUUCCCAUCUUAGAGUGUUCUUCAUGAUAGCUAGCACAUGAGAGACAUUACGGAGACACUGGAUGCAUCAGUCUAAUACUUUUAAGAGACAAACUUUGCAGAAUGUUAUUGAUUAAAAUGCUCUUGAUGAAAUGAUGAGGAUACCACUUCUUUUUUACCUAAAGAACAAAAAAACGGGUUUUUCUGGCUUUUAUGGAGCAAUGGACUCCCUCUGUUAUCCUGGGCCACCAGUAUUUAUUUUACAGCAGAAACUGGAAUGCGCAACCAAGACUUCUGCAUCAUUUUGUUUCUUUCCCAUUUGGAGAAAGCUCAGCAGCUGGAGAAAAAGUCACACUGAUGUCCCAUGAUCAUGAUCUACUUUUUUCUCUGUAAGCGGAGCCUAAAAAGCCCGCGAGGUCACCCCACUUAAAUGCCAGCUUAUGUUUCCUAAAUCAUAGAAUCAUGGAACUAUAGAAUCACCAAGGUUCAAAAAGACCUACAAGGUCAUCCAGACCAGCUGUCCACCUAUCAUCAAUAGUUAUCACUAAACCAUGGUCCUCAAAACAAUGACUAAAAGUUCCUUGAAACUACUAUAUAGCAGAGGAAUAAAGUUUCAGUAAUAGACUUGAGCUACACAGUUUCUUCUGUAUGAAUCCCAGCAAUUUCUUUUCUUGACCUAAUGAAAAAAAAAAAGAAUUUUACAGCUCCACAAACUUCAGAUUCACUGAGAACUAAAUAAAAUAACCGUGGUAGAACUAUGAUCUCAUCAGCAUCCCACACAUUUACUUUUGUGUUGUACUCCUUUAUAUUGCAUGCCUAAUUAAUCAGGGGACUUAACAAUUACAAAAUUCAACUACUAAUUUCUUACUGAGUUCUGGAAAAAGAAAUAGAAUCAAAAAGAAAAGAUUAUGAAUUAGAAGUUUCUUGGAAGUGAUAUAGGCACAACCCCUUAUAUAUGGAAAUCACUCAGCUAUCUUUUCAAGCCCACAAUCGACUUUUCAAGAAUUCUUGAAAGAAAACCCACAUUCAUACCACUGCUGAAGGAUUUUAUUGCUAUUUAUAGGGUUUUGUGUUUGUUUGUUUGUUUCUUGCAGAAGCCAUAGAGGAAGAAAGAGAUUUUCCACCUUUAUUCACAUUUUUUAUCAUACCUGUGUAGUCUCAACAGGAACAAGAAGAUGUCACAUUUCAGAUGAGUUUAUACAGAUUCAUAGAGUUCUAGAGACAAUAAUAUCUCCAUAUGAAUGGCACUGAAAAACCAAAUUGAAACAUUAUGCUGUAAUUCCCCCUGAAGAUUCACUUUCACAUACUAUGCACUGAAUAAUAACCUGAAAGGACUGCAUAUUUCUAAAACUAAACUGUUGGGUUUUUGUUUGUUUGUUUGUUUUUUUAUUUAUUUAUUGUUAUUCUGAUACUUAUUAAUGGAGAAGUUAUAAACUGCAGAUAAAACACACUGCCUUUCUGGUUUCAUCUGAAUGUUUUUUCUUGCUAACCUAUGCUCUUGCUAAGUCUCCUUAUUGGCUGCCACAGAUUUCUUUCAAAUGUUUGCUUUCUUUAUUUCACACAAAUGUCAGUUGUGACAGAAGCUGAGUAACUGAAUGAAAAGAUAUAUUCCAUAAAGCUUUUGACUUCCCAGAUGACAAGGCACACUUGUACCUAAAAUUAUGAUUUUCUUCACUCUUGCAAAUUGAUUACUGUUUCUCUAAACUUUUUAUAUUGAAGCAUUAUGUACAUGUAAGUAUGUUUGUACAAAAAACUGUCUGGAGAUUAGGAAGGAGCUGAACUCCUUUUAUGCUUUUUUUUUCCCCCUGUAUUUUCUGAACUACCACCACAACCUUUAAGACCUCAGCAGAAGUCCAACUUAGGAUCAAAGGAAUUUGUUAUUUUAUUCCCAUAUUAUAUUCAGUUCUACUCAGAGUCAGACAGACACUAACAGAAGUCAGAACUAGAAGUACUCCAAGAGCCUAGCUACUGCAAGAGCUCCUGGAUCCCAAAGACACCCAUAUUGAAAGAUGCUGUCAAGUGGCUCCAUGGCUCCAGAAGAUCAAUAUGUCAGAAGUCAUGAAGAGCAAAUAUAUUUCUUCUACAUAGGUCGGACAGACUGUCUGCCAAGAGUGAACAAUAAUUUCUGUUUUUUAUCUUUGUUCAGUGAUAGUAGGUGAAUACAAAACCAGCCUGUCCACAAAACUAUCUUUUUGUGGUAACUUCAGCGUGUUUUUAACUUUUCUUGCAUGUUUGCAACUUCAGUUUUCCUGUGUUUUACUAGAAGCUACUAGACAUUGCAGCUGUGUUCCAAGUUACACCUGAGAGGAAGCUAGGGAGGGAAGUUCACCAUUUCUAAGUCUUGCUCUCCUGUAAUGAGUGCUUACUUUCAGUGGGAUCAACAAGGGUUCAUUUACUUUGGUAAACGUGAUGUUAUGAAUAAAACCCACACCUCUCAUUGUUCUAUUGCUACAUGGUUGAAUAAACUCACACAGCAGAUUUUCUCCUCCUGAAGGGAGGUUGUAGUGAGCUGGGGGUUGGCCUCUUCUCUCAUGUAAUCGAUGAUAGAACUAGAGGGAAUGGUUUUAAGCUGCGCCAGG